GACGAACGCUGGCGGCGUGCUUAACACAUGCAAGUCGCACGAAGUGGCGAACGGGUGAGUAACGCGUAAAAAACCUGCCCUUCAGAGGGGGACAACAGUUGGAAACGACUGCUAAUACCGCAUACUGAAGGAGUGGAUUGCGGAUGAUUAGCCAGUGGGGGGGGUAACGGCCAACCAAGGCGAUUAUCAGGAGCCGGUCUGAGAGGGGGAACGGCCACAUUGGGACUGAGACACGGCCCAGACUCCUACGGGAGGCAGCAGUGGGGAAUCUGCCGCAAGGGACGGAAGUCUGACGGAGCAACGCCGCGGGAGUGAUGACGGCCUUCGGGUUGGAAAGCUCUGUUGAUCGGGACGCGGUACCGGAAUAGAAAGCCACGGCUAACUACGUGCCAGCCGCCGCGGUAAUAC
rnacentral:rRNA from 1 species